rnacentral:ribozyme from 1 species
AGUCGGUCCACAGAAUCUUUGGCCAUCAUCAGAUGUUGUCAACUGUGGGAAGACUGGAAGGGAAACACUCUACCAAGAGGUACAUUAACUUCC